rnacentral:misc_RNA from 1 species
GUAACAAGGUUUCCGUAGGUGAACCUGCGGAAGGAUCAUUACCGAGUGAGGGCCCUCUGGGUCCAACCUCCCACCCGUGUCUAUCGUACCUUGUUGCUUCGGCGGGCCCGCCGUUUCGACGGCCGCCGGGGAGGCCUUGCGCCCCCGGGCCCGCGCCCGCCGAAGACCCCAACAUGAACGCUGUUCUGAAAGUAUGCAGUCUGAGUUGAUUAUCGUAAUCAGUUAAAACUUUCAACAACGGAUCUCUUGGUUCCGGCAUCGAUGAAGAACGCAGCGAAAUGCGAUAAGUAAUGUGAAUUGCAGAAUUCAGUGAAUCAUCGAGUCUUUGAACGCACAUUGCGCCCCCUGGUAUUCCGGGGGGCAUGCCUGUCCGAGCGUCAUUGCUGCCCUCAAGCACGGCUUGUGUGUUGGGCCCCCGUCCCCCUCUCCCGGGGGACGGGCCCGAAAGGCAGCGGCGGCACCGCGUCCGGUCCUCGAGCGUAUGGGGCUUUGUCACCUGCUCUGUAGGCCCGGCCGGCGCCAGCCGACACCCAACUUUAUUUUUCUAAGGUUGACCUCGGAUCAGGUAGGGAUACCCGCUGAACUUAAGCAUAUCAAUAA